rnacentral:rRNA from 2 species
AUCUGAGGGAGCUUGCUCCCAAAGAUUAGCGGCGGACGGGUGAGUAACACGUGGGUAACCUGCCUGUAAGAUUGGGAUAACUCCGGGAAACCGGAGCUAAUACCGGAUAACAUUUCGAACCGCAUGGUUCGAAAUUGAAAGAUGGUUUCGGCUAUCACUUACAGAUGGACCCGCGGCGCAUUAGCUAGUUGGUGAGGUAACGGCUCACCAAGGCAACGAUGCGUAGCCGACCUGAGAGGGUGAUCGGCCACACUGGGACUGAGACACGGCCCAGACUCCUACGGGAGGCAGCAGUAGGGAAUCUUCCGCAAUGGACGAAAGUCUGACGGAGCAACGCCGCGUGAACGAUGAAGGCCUUCGGGUCGUAAAGUUCUGUUGUUAGGGAAGAACAAGUACCAGAGUAACUGCUGGUACCUUGACGGUACCUAACCAGAAAGCCACGGCUAACUACGUGCCAGCAGCCGCGGUAAUACGUAGGUGGCAAGCGUUGUCCGGAAUUAUUGGGCGUAAAGCGCGCGCAGGCGGUUUCUUAAGUCUGAUGUGAAAGCCCACGGCUCAACCGUGGAGGGUCAUUGGAAACUGGGGAACUUGAGUGCAGAAGAGGAGAGUGGAAUUCCACGUGUAGCGGUGAAAUGCGUAGAGAUGUGGAGGAACACCAGUGGCGAAGGCGACUCUCUGGUCUGUAACUGACGCUGAGGCGCGAAAGCGUGGGGAGCGAACAGGAUUAGAUACCCUGGUAGUCCACGCCGUAAACGAUGAGUGCUAAGUGUUAGAGGGUUUCCGCCCUUUAGUGCUGCAGC